CCUACGGGUGGCAGCAGUGAGGAAUAUUGGUCAAUGGGCGCGAGCCUGAACCAGCAAAGUAGCGUGAAGGAUGACUGCCCUACGGGUUGUAAACUUCUUUUAUAAAGGAGUAAAGUGAGGAACGUGAGCGUUUUUGUAUGUACUUUAUGAAUAAGGAUCGGCUAACUCCGUGCCAGCAGCCGCGGUAAGACGGAGGAUACGAGCGUUAUCAGGAUGUAUUGGGUUUAAAGGGAACGUAGAUGGGUUGUUAAGGGAGUUGUGAAAGUUUGCGGCUCAACCGUAAAAUUGCAAUUGAUACUGGCAGUCUUGAGUACAGUUGAGGUAGGCGGAAUUCGAUGUGUAGCGGUGAAAUGCUUAGAUAUCACGAAGAACUCCGAUUGCGAAGGCAGCUUACUAAACUGCCACUGACAUUGAUGCUCGAAAGUGUGGGUAUCAAACAGGAUUAGAUACCCGAGUAGUC
rnacentral:rRNA from 1 species